UCAAAUUCAACUUUUCACUGUACGUGUGUAUGUGUAUGUCAUUGCCCUCUACUGGACAGAUCUAGAGUAACUUUUUGAGCAAUGCUGCCAGCUUGCUUGGAGUCUGUGGCUGUUACUUCAGCACAAUCGGAAGAGGGACGCCUUCACACUCCCAAGUAUUAAACGAACAUAUGGAAAUAUCUCUGUAAGAUCGUCAUCUGUGCACACUAAAUGGAGUCUGCUGUCUCCAGAGAUGGUAAAGUUGAAUUUUUAGUACAGUGCCACGUAGAGAACGUUUGGUUGAACAGAAGGAAAGAUGAGAAAAACAGGAAAAGGAUUGGGAUUCAACAGUAGAACUUCAGAGGAUGUUGGAGAAGCCACAUAGCAAGAGCAAUCAAGAAUUCAGCUGUCUCAGGAAGGAAUCAGAGUUUUGGAGACCAAAGGAGCCUAUCCAGACAAAUGUCCUUCAUGCUGUGAGGCUGGGCUGGGUCUAAAGCAAGCAGAGAUGGUGAGGGUCCUGGCUACAGCACAAGAGAGGUUUCAGGGUACUGGACAUAGUGGUAUGGAGGUUGAAAUGUACAGGUUACCAUUUAUGAGAGGUGACUGAACACAGAAGGCAGCUGGUUAUUAAAGCACUUGGCAGUUUGUUGAAGGGUAGCUGCAAACAUCUUGAAAUGACAGGGGCUUCAAUUAAACCAUGCUUUCUGUCCUUCUCAUUCAACAUCUUAAAUGCAGUUUGAAAAUCUAAUUCUGCCACCUAAACUUUGUGGUUUUUAGGCUCCAUUCAGAGAAGACUUGUUUCAUCCAGUCUAGAAAAUACAGUACCCUGCCAGGUGGAGGAAGAACGUAAGGAAUCAGUGUAUAUAAAGGAGUAUAAAGUUUUUAAUUUUGACCAAAUAAGACACUGUCUGUUUGCUGUGAGAAAUUCAAUCAUGAGUAUACUGGAAAAAAUUUUCUGUCCAUCUCAUGUUUACUAGUGAGGGACGUCACUACCUAUUUGAAACAUACAUCUCUGAUUUUGUAAAAGCAUUAUUCUAACCAGUGUUAGUUUGUUUUCUUAUUUUUCUGAAUCGCUCUAGGGAAACUCAAGUUCGUGGCCUGAGGAAAAUCUUAAUGAUACACAGAGAACAUGUUCAAGUGAUAGGCCCAUGUAAUCUUCAUUAAGUCCAUGCUGUAAAUGCCAAGAAAUCAGAGUCACUUCAAAUAAUUUAGAUUAGGGUCUCUUUGAACUGUGUGGCUUGUUUCAAAGCCAAUAUCCUGCUUUUGCUAUGAGCAAGGAAAUCCUGCUGAUGUUAGUACAAUUCCAGCCAUGCUUGCCAGGAUAUCAGGAAGAAAGCCUUUUGCAUUGACUUGGACUGGAGAACACUAUUUAUCUUGCCUCUGCAGUUCCAGGACUCUGAAACCUGCCCUGUUUCUUAGUUUAAAAUAUUUGGUGAUCUUGCAGCCACUCUGGGGAAGAAACUUGUUCAACGGGAUUUUGGAUGGGACCAACCAUAUAUGCCAUGCAGAAAUGAAAAGCUGGAGGGGCAGAAAGCAGCUUUUAGUUUUUCUUUUCAUAGAUGAAAGGCUGGUGGAGCUAUUAUUUCAGAUGCUGCUGGAAUUCUGCUCAAAUGCUAUAAAAAGACUGCCUUGAAGAUUAUGUCGUUGUUUUAAACAGGAGAGAAAAGCCACUUAGUUAAUGUAAUGGACCUGUGCAUGAAAAGGAACGUGAGUGUCCUUAUCCCUGCUUCACAGCUCAAGGAAGUGAAGCUUAGAGAAGUAAGCCUGGCUUACCCAAGAUCAUGCAUCACAGAGAAUUGGAUGGAGUGAUAGAACUGUUUUUAUUUACCCUGAAGGCACAUCCAGUGUCCUAGAGGUAAGGCUGCAGUAGCAACCUACUGUCACUAGGUUCUUUUAAAAAUACCAAAACUUCCAUCAUCAAAGACCUGAUCAAAUCAAGCUGUUUUGAAAUGAACACCUUGAGAUUACUUAUCAUACUGUGAGACAGUCAAUCCAGACUUGCAGCUACUAAAUAGGUUUAUAUCAGAAUACAACUUGAUUAUUUUU